GACGAACGCUGGCGGCGUGCUUAACACAUGCAAGUCGAACGGGAUCCAAAGGCUUUUUGUUUUUGGUGCGAGUGGCGAACGGGUGAGUAACACGUGAGUAACCUGCCCCCUUCUUUUGGAUAACCGCAUGAAAGUGUGGCUAAUACAGGAUAUUCCAGGCUGGUCGCAUGAUUGGUUUGGGAAAUGGUUUGGUCUGGUGGGGGAUGGGCUCGCGGCCUAUCAGCUUGUUGGUGGGGUGAUGGCCUACCAAGGCGGUGACGGGUAGCCGGCCUGAGAGGGUGGGCGGUCACACUGGGACUGAGAUACGGCCCAGACUCCUACGGGAGGCAGCAGUGGGGGAUUUUGCACAAUGGGCGCAAGCCUGAUGCAGCGACGCCGCGUGAGGGAUGAAGGCCUUCGGGUUGUAAACCUCUUUCGCUGGGUUGAAAGGCCAUGCUUUGGGUGUGGUGGAUUUGAACUGGGAAAGAAGUACCGGCUAACUACGU
rnacentral:rRNA from 1 species